rnacentral:rRNA from 1 species
UACGUAGGUGACAAGCGUUGUCCGGAUUUACUGGGCGUAAAGAGCGCGCAGUCGGUCGUUCAAGUCGCGUGUGAAAGCCCCCGGCUCAACUGGGGAGGGUCACGCGAUACUGAUCGACUCGAAGGCAGGAGAGGGUAGUGGAAUUCCCGGUGUAGUGGUGAAAUGCGUAGAUAUCGGGAGGAACACCAGUGGCGAAGGCGACUACCUGGCCUGUCUCUUGACGCUGAGGCGCGAAAGCUAGGGGAGCAAACGGG